rnacentral:rRNA from 1 species
AAUGAACGCUGGCGGCAGGCCUAACACAUGCAAGUCGAACGGAUCCUUCGGGAUUAGUGGCGGACGGGUGAGUAACGCGUGGGAACAUACCCUUUGGUACGGAAUAGCCUCGGGAAACUGGGAGUAAUACCGUAUGUGGUCGAGAGACGAAAGAUUUAUCGCCAAAGGAUUGGCCCGCGUUGGAUUAGGUAGUUGGUGGGGUAAUUGCCUACCAAGCCGACGAUCCAUAGCUGGGUUGAGAGGAUGCUCAACCAACGUGGAACUGAGACACGGCCCAGACUCCUACGGGAGUCAGCAGUGGGGAAUCUUAGACAAUGGGGGAAACCCUGAUCUAGCCAUGCCCCGUGCUCGAUCAAGGCCUUAUGGUUGUAAAGAUCUUUCAGGUGGGAAGAUAAUGACUGUACCACCAGAAGAAGCCCCGGCUAUCUCCGUGCCCGCCGCCGCCGUAACAC